ACAGGUAAUAGGAGAGGCUACCCAUUUAUCAGGGACAUUGUUGAUGAUUUAUUGACAAGAGUAAUUCCUCGUUACCAAGGGAAUUGUCUAGUUGACAAUGGGUUUUCUAAGCAGCGGUUCUACAAUCCAAUGAUCAUUUUGUUAUUUCUAUUGAAGAGAUACAAUACAAUAAUAAGUCCUGUAAUGAUUAUUUCUUGUUUGAUUUAUAAGUGUAACAUUUGGUCAAUCUUUACUUCUAUUCAAGUUUCUUUUUUGCUUUCCAUUUUUUAGCUAACAUUGUUCCACUACAUAGGUGGUAUUAUCCUUAUGGGCACUUGGAUUUUCUCAAAAUGUCAGAGAAGUUCCAUCAAUUUUUAUGUCACUUAUUGUCUUUUCUUUUUUAAUUUUAUACAAGUUGUUGUUGGUUUAUGAAGGAUUUAAAACAUUAAGAUUUUCAAUAUUUAUUGGGUUGAUAGUUUUCUAGU